GACGAACGCUGGCGGCGUGCUUAACACAUGCAAGUCGAACGGAAAGGCCCUGCUUUUGUUGGGUGCUCGUGUGGCGAACGGGUGUGUAACACGUGAGUAUCCUGCCCUUGACUUUGUGAUAACUUCAGGAAACUGGGGCUAAUACCUGAUAGGAGCUCCUGCUGCCUGGUGGGGGUUGGAAAGUUUCGGCGGUUGGGGCUGGACUCGCGGCUUAUCAGCUUGUUGGUGGGGUAGUGGCUUACCCAGGCUUUGAAGGGUAGCCGGCCUGAGAGGGUGACCGGCCACAUUGGGACUGAGGUACGGCCCAGACUCCUACGGGAGGCAGCAGUGGGGAAUAUUGCACAAUGGGCGGAAGCCUGAUGCAGCAACGCCGCGUGCGGGAUGACGGCCUUCGGGUUGUAAACCGCUUUCGCCUGUGACGAAGCGUGAGUGACGGUAAUGGGUAAAGAAGCACCGGCUAACUACGUG
rnacentral:rRNA from 1 species